UUUCCACCCCAGCCCAGUUACAGCGCACAUUAUCCCGUCCAUUGGGCUACGUGCAUUACAGCUUUCCGGUCCGCAUACGAACAGCUAUUGCUGCUGCACCGGGGGCGGGGGGAGAACCCCGCGGAGCUGCGAAACAACCCCCGCACGGCAGCGCCGCCGAGAUCGCCGGAGUUUCGCUUGGAAACGGCUUCGGGGACCGACAGUGCCUCCGAGGAACAGACGAGGCGCAGCACGGGCAAUGCGAAUCCCCAGACCGCGGUUUUUGAAUCUUCUUUGGUAAUCCUCUGUGGAAGCUGUCAGGCGUGGGGCACUCCAGCUUGUUUAGAGCUCCUACGCAUUUCCAAAUUGAGAGCUGCGACAGACCGUCAUCUUAAGAAGAGAAAAGCUCCCUCCUGUGGAAGACAUGAACCUCUGCUGUGACAUGGAGCAACCAUAAGGGCAUCAGACCGUGAUUUUAAAUUAGCAGGAAAAAAGGUUACAAGCACUGUGGAACUUUGCAAAUAUUGGAAUGAAAAACCCUGCUCCCUGUUAUUUUUUUUCUCAAAGUAAUUUUUUCAUCUUUUGUAUGAUUUAUAAUUGAGAUACGGUUUUAGAAAUAACUGCUGUAAGUAAAACUGGAUCAUUUAAAUACUAUAAUGUGGCCACAAUGGACUCUUUAAUGUUAAAGGAAUCUAAAGCAGCUGGUAUUUUUUCAGAUUUUGCUUUCUGUAGCUCUUUGCUGAAAAACCAUAGUAUUUUGGACAUUUCUGUCAAUUUGAGUUUGUAGAGCUUACUUGUAAAACAUUUGUUUCCUUUUUCCUUUUUUAAAAAAAGUUUGAUAAUCUGUAUAUCUCAAUGAUCUGUAUUAAAAUGAUUUUGCAUCUUGC